rnacentral:tRNA from 1 species
UAAACUUUAGUUAAAAAAUAACAUUAAAUUGUCAAUUUAAAGAUAUUAAUAUAAAUAAUAAGUUUUA